UACGUAGGGGGCAAGCGUUGUCCGGAUUUAUUGGGCGUAAAGAGCGUGUAGGCGGCCAGGUAGGUCCGUUGUGAAAACUCGAGGCUCAACCUCGAGACGUCGGCGGAAACCCUCUGGCUAGAGUCCGGAAGAGGAGAGUGGAAUUCCUGGUGUAGCGGUGAAAUGCGCAGAUAUCAGGAAGAACACCCGUGGCGAAGGCGGCUCUCUGGGACGGUACUGACGCUGAGACGCGAAAGCGUUGGGGAGCAAACAGG
rnacentral:rRNA from 1 species